UGAAAUUGAGCAAGCAGCUGUGAUUCAUUAUGAUGGAGUUAUGAAACCAUGGUUAGAGAUUGGACUCCAGAAGUUCAAGCCGUACUGGAAGAAACACGUUAGGUAUGAACAUCCUUUUGUGCAACAAUGCAAUAUUCAUGACUAGGAAUUUUAUCCUUUAGCAGUAGGCUGAGUUCCAUUUCACCACAAUCACGUAGUGUAGGAACCCCUCACGUUCACCUUAUUCUUUCACACAUUGAUCCCGCAAUUUUUAACUUGUAAAGUCCAACUUUUACGCCCCUCCUGUCCACGUUUAUUUCCUGCUCAGUGGUCAUAGAAAUUUAUCCCACAAUAGCAAUAACUUGGGACCUGAUAUUGGCAUGUCCCUGAGAUUCCUGCAAUGCUUGGACUUGCA
rnacentral:misc_RNA from 1 species